GUGGAGGUGCUGAGGUCUCGAUAAGUAACCGAGAUGCUAUCUUCGUUUUACCCGACCAUGGUCGGGGUAAGUUUUACUUCGCCUCCCCUUUCUUUAGUGUCUUCAUUAUUUCAUUUUCCUGACGUAGUGCCCGCAUUCGCAGCUGAUCUAUACCAUGUCUGAACUUGAAGCCGGGUAUCGGAGAUUCGGGAACAUCCGGGCGGCUUGGAAGGACAGAGCGGCGGCC
rnacentral:lncRNA from 1 species